rnacentral:rRNA from 1 species
GAUGAACGCUGGCGGCGUGCCUAAUACAUGCAAGUCGAGCGAACGGACGAGAAGCUUGCUUCUCUGAUGUUAGCGGCGGACGGGUGAGUAACACGUGGAUAACCUACCUAUAAGACUGGGAUAACUUCGGGAAACCGGAGCUAAUACCGGAUGAUAUUUUGAACCGCAUGGUUCAAAAGUGAAAGACGGUCUUGCUGUCACUUAUAGAUGGAUCCGCGCUGCAUUAGCUAGUUGGUAAGGUAACGGCUUACCAAGGCAACGAUGCAUAGCCGACCUGAGAGGGUGAUCGGCCACACUGGAACUGAGACACGGUCCAGGCUCCGAAGGGAGGCAGCAGUAGGGAAUCUUCCGCAAUGGGCGGAAGCCUGACGGAGCAACGCCGCGUGAGUGAUGGAGGUCUUCGGAUCGUAAAACUCUGUUAUUAGGGAAGAACAUAUGUGUAAGUAACUGUGCACAUCUUGACGGUACCUAAUCAGAAAGCCACGGCUAACUACGUG